UCGGGCUCUCUGUUACUGCGCUCCUGAUCUUCUGGCUCCUUGCUUUCUUGGUUCGCUGUGCCGAACAUGGCUGCUCCUUCCAGGACUUGAACAUGUAUAGCUGAAAUCAGUAUGGUGGACAAAGCAUUUCCAGGUUAAAGACACAGACCAGUGGAAGUCAUCUUCAGAGUCCUGGUGGCAAUUGCAGGGAGAAUGUGAACAAAAGAAGUGCACAGAGACGAGAGACGGGAAGGUCACCUCAAAUGCUGGUUCAGUGAGUCACUCAACAAUUAUUUACUGAUUCCACUGCCCAAAAAUAUACUGGAUCUGCCUUCUUCGCUGCCAUGUUUAUCCAGAUCUCAUCUAUAAGGAAGAUCAUCCAAUAUCCAUCCUUCUGACUUAUUUCCAUCAGUGUAUGCCCUUUUCUAAAUAAUGGCAGUGAAAUAUUCACAAUAGCCAAUGAGUGGAAGCAGCCUAAAUUUCCAUUAACAGAUGACUGACUAAAGAAGUUAUGGGACAUAUAUUCCAUGGAAUACUACUCUGCAGUCAAAAAAGAAGAUACUGUGUCCUUUGGGGCAAAAUGGAUGGAACUGAAGAUGAUUAUGCUUAGCAAAGCAAGAGAUGAGAGACAACUACCAGAUGAUUUCACUCAUGUGCAGUCUAGAGAUCUGAUUUAUAUGAACUUGUCAAAAAAAAUUAAAAAAAAACAGAAACAAGCAAACUGUUGAUAAGACUUAUGACAAUGAUUGUGGCUAUCUUUCAGAGGGUGGAGAUACAGAAUUUGGUGGUGUGGAAAUAUAUAUACACUAAUCUUACAAUCUUGUAACAAACUAUUAAUAACAAAUACAAAUUUUAAAAAAUAAAAUAAAUAUUGGUGGAGCUGGAUGGUGGCACACCUGGUUGAAUGCACAUGCUACAAUGCACAAGGACCCAGGUUCAAGCCCCUGGUCCCCACCUGCAGGGAGAAA